rnacentral:rRNA from 1 species
UACGGAGGGUGCAAGCGUUGUUCGGAAUUAUUGGGCGUAAAGCGCGCGCAGGCGGUGGAGUCAGUCCAGGGGUGAAAUGCCGGAGCUCAACUCCGAGCCCGCCCCGGAUACUGCUUCACUGGAGACACGUAGAGGCUGGCGGAAUUCCGGGUGUAGCGGUGGAAUGCGUAGAGAUCCGGAAGAACACCGGAGGCGAAGGCGGCCAGCUGGGCGUGGUCUGACGCUGAGGCGCGAAGGCGUGGGGAGCGAACAGG